GGCUGCAGUAUAUUAACUGUACAAAGGUAGCAUAAUAAGUUKUUCUUUAAAUAAGAUCUAGAAUGAAAGAGUUGACGAAUUAUAAGCUUUAUUUAACUUAUGUAUUGAAUUUAAUUUUAAAGUAAGAAUUCUUUAAUUUAUUUAUGGGACGAGAAGACCCUAUAGAAUUUUAUUAAAAAUAUAAAAAUAUAAUUAAGUAUUUUUAUAUUUUUAAUUUGUUUGGGAGGAAUAAUAAAUUUUUAAACUUUAUUUUAUUAUAUACAAAUAUAUUUGGUUUUAGAGAUUUUUAAUAUAAAUAUAAGAUUAAAUUACCUUAGGGAUAACAGCAUAAUAUUUUUUGAUAGUUCUUAUUGACAAAAAUGUUU
rnacentral:rRNA from 1 species